rnacentral:rRNA from 1 species
UACGUAGGGGGCAAGCGUUGUCCGGAUUUAUUGGGCGUAAAGAGCGUGUAGGCGGCUAGAUAGGUCCGUUGUGAAAACUCGAGGCUCAACCUCGAGACGUCGAUGGAAACCAUCUAGCUAGAGUCCGGAAGAGGAGAGUGGAAUUCCCAGUGUAGAGGUGAAAUUCGUAGAUAUUGGGAAGAACACCGGUGGCGAAGGCGGCUCUCUGGACCGACACUGACGCUGAGGCGCGAAAGCGUGGGGAGCAAACAGG